rnacentral:lncRNA from 1 species
UCUACACGUGCUACCGCCUGCUUGCAAAACACCCCCUCGCGCUUGCCGGCGUCCUAACUAGCCGGUCAGUUCGCGUUUAGACUAGCCGUCUUCUCCUGCAGUCGGGCCAUCUGCUCCUGCAGGUGGCGAAGGCAGUCCUUCUUGUGCUCUUCCCAAGUCUGGUUCGCCGGUUUGAGGCGAGAGCACAUCCGACACUUGAGAGGAGUACCGGACGUGGACGUCCGCGGUUUCUUCGCACGAACCGUUUCCCAGGCCUGUUUGGAAGGGGACCGAGGGCGAGAUUGCUUAGGGCGAGAGGAGGAAGUAAUCUUCGACGGGCCAGCUUGCGUAGUAACUACAGCAAGCUGUGCUUUGUCCUUUCCGGCUUUCCACCGAACCUCCUGACCGCUAGCAUACAGGAUUAGCUUCUCUAAAUCCUGCCAGUCUUUGC